GACGAACGCUGGCGGCGUGCCUAACACAUGCAAGUCGAACGGAAAGGCCCUGCUUUUGUGGGGUGCUCGAGUGGCGAACGGGUGAGUAACACGUGAGUAACCUGCCCUUGACUUUGGGAUAACUUCAGGAAAGUGGGGCUAAUACCGGACAGGAGCUCCCGCUGCAGGGUGGGGGUUGGAAAGUUUCGGCGGUUGGGGAUGGACUGGCGGCUUAUCAGCUUGUUGGUGGGGUAGUGGCAUACCAAGGCUUUGACGGGUAGCCGGCCUGGGAGGGUGGCCGGCCACAUUAGGACUGAGAUACGGCCCAGACCCGAACGGGAGGCAACGGUGGGGAGUAUUGUACAGUGGGCGGGAGCCUGGUGCAACGACGCCGCGUGCGGGAUGACAGCCUUCGGGUUGUGAACCGCUUUCGCCUGAGACGAAGCGUGAGUGACGGUAAUGGGUGAAGAAGCACCGGCUAACUACGUG
rnacentral:rRNA from 1 species